rnacentral:snRNA from 1 species
CUUGCUUCGGUAAGACUGGAAUUGGAACGAUACAGAGAAGAUUAGCAUGGACCCUACGCUAAUAUGACACGAAAAAUCGUGAAGCGUUAUACAUUUUU